GACAAACGCUGGCGGGGUGCAUGAGACAUGCAAGUCGCACGGGGUUGAUCGGGCUUGCUCGAUCAACCUAGUGGCGAACGGCUGAGUAACGCGUAGGUGACCUACCCGGAAGUGGGGAAUAACUGCCCGAAAGGGUGGCUAAUACCGCAUGUGGUCGGCGAAUCAGAUCGCCGUCCAAAGCCGAAAGGCGCUUCCGGAGGGGCCUGCGUCCGAUUAGCUAGUUGGCGGGGUAACGGCNCACCAAGGCGACGAUCGGUAGCUGGUCUGAGAGGAUGAUCAGCCAGACUGGGACUGAGAACGGCCCAGACUCCUACGGGAGGCAGCAGUCGGGAAUUUUGCCCAAUGGACGAAAGUCUGAGGCAGCAACUCCGCGUGAGGGAUGAA
rnacentral:rRNA from 1 species